UUGGUUAAGUUAGAAAGGGCGCACGGUGGAUGCCUUGGCACUAGGAGCCGAAGAAGGACGGGACUAACACCGAUAUGCUUUGGGGAGCUGUACGUAAGCGUUGAUCCAGAGAUUUCCGAAUGGGGGAACCCACUAUCUUUAGUCGGAUAGUAUCCUUACGUGAAUACAUAGCGUAAGGAAGGCAGACCCAGGGAACUGAAACAUCUAAGUACCUGGAGGAAGAGAAAGAAAAAUCGAUUUCCUGAGUAGCGGCGAGCGAAACGGAAAGAGCCCAAACCAAGAAGCUUGCUUCUUGGGGUUGUAGGACACUCUAUACGGAGUUACAAAAGAAAGUUAUAAAUGAAGCGGUCUGGAAAGGCCCGCCAAAGACGGUAACAGCCCGGUAGUUGAAAUGGCUUUCCCUCCAGAGUGGAUCCUGAGUACGGCGGAACACGUGAAAUUCCGUCGGAAUCCGGGAGGACCAUCUCCCAAGGCUAAAUACUCCCUAGUGACCGAUAGUGAACCAGUACCGUGAGGGAAAGGUGAAAAGCACCCCGGAAGGGGAGUGAAACAGUUCCUGAAACCGUGUGCCUACAAGUAGUUAGAGCCCGUUAAUGGGUGAUAGCGUGCCUUUUGUAGAAUGAACCGGCGAGUUACGAUUUGUUGCAAGGUUAAGCGGAAAAAGCGGAGCCGUAGCGAAAGCGAGUCUGAAUAGGGCGCAUAAGUAACAGGUCGUAGACCCGAAACCAGGUGAUCUACCCAUGUCCAGGAUGAAGGUAAGGUAAUACUUACUGGAGGUCCGAACCCACGCACGUUGAAAAGUGCGGGGAUGAGGUGUGGGUAGCGGAGAAAUUCCAAUCGAACUUGGAGAUAGCUGGUUCUCUCCGAAAUAGCUUUAGGGCUAGCCUCGAGGUAAAGAGUCAUGGAGGUAGAGCACUGUUUGGACUAGGGGCCCUUCUCGGGUUACCGAAUUCAGAUAAACUCCGAAUGCCAUGUACUUAUACUCGGGAGUCAGACUGCGAGUGAUAAGAUCCGUAGUCGAAAGGGAAACAGCCCAGACCACCAGUUAAGGUCCCCAAAUAUAUGUUAAGUGGAAAAGGAUGUGGGGUUGCUUAGACAACCAGGAUGUUGGCUUAGAAGCAGCCACCAUUGAAAGAGUGCGUAAUAGCUCACUGGUCGAGUGACCCCGCGCCGAAAAUGUACCGGGGCUAAACAUAUUACCGAAACUGUGGAUGAACCUCUUCGGAGGUUCGUGGUAGGAGAGCGUUCUAAGGGCGGUGAAGUCAGACCGGAAGGACUGGUGGAGCGCUUAGAAGUGAGAAUGCCGGUAUGAGUAGCGAAAGAAGGGUGAGAAUCCCUUCCACCGAAUAUCUAAGGUUUCCUGAGGAAGGCUCGUCCGCUCAGGGUUAGUCGGGACCUAAGCCGAGGCCGAUAGGCGUAGGCGAUGGACAACAGGUAGAGAUUCCUGUACCAGUGCUAAUUGUUUAACCGAUGGGGUGACACAGAAGGAUAGGGAAUCGCACGAAUGGAAAUGUGCGUCCAAGCAGUGAGUGUGAGAAGUAGGCAAAUCCGCUUCUCGCGAAGCAUGAGCUGUGAUGGGGAAGGAAAUUAAGUACGGAAGUUCCUGAUUUCACGCUGUCAAGAAAAGCCUCUAGGAAGAGUAGUACUGCCCGUACCGCAAACCGACACAGGUAGAUGAGGAGAGAAUCCUAAGGUGAGCGAGAGAACUCUCGUUAAGGAACUCGGCAAAAUGACCCCGUAACUUCGGGAGAAGGGGUGCUCUAUUAGGGUGCAAGCCCGAGAGAGCCGCAGUGAAUAGGCCCAGGCGACUGUUUAGCAAAA
rnacentral:rRNA from 1 species